GCCUUAUCAUGUUUGAAGCACCGGUUCUCCUACGAUCAGUGAAAUUAAGCAAAGUCGAUCUUGGUCAGUACCUGGAUGGGUGACCGCUUGGGAAAACCAG